rnacentral:rRNA from 1 species
CCUACGGGGGGCAGCAGUGGGGAAUAUUGGACAAUGGGGGCAACCCUGAUCCAGCCAUGCCGCGUGUGUGAAGAAGGCCCUCGGGUUGUAAAGCACUUUCAGUGAGGAAGAACGCCUGGUGGUUAAUACCCAUCAGGAAAGACAUCACUCACAGAAGAAGCACCGGCUAACUCCGUGCCAGCAGCCGCGGUAAUACGGAGGGUGCGAGCGUUAAUCGGAAUUACUGGGCGUAAAGCGCGCGUAGGUGGCUUGAUAAGCCGGUUGUGAAAGCCCCGGGCUCAACCUGGGAACGGCAUCCGGAACUGUCAAGCUAGAGUGCAGGAGAGGAAGGUAGAAUUCCCGGUGUAGCGGUGAAAUGCGUAGAGAUCGGGAGGAAAACCAGUGGCGAAGGCGGCCUUCUGGACUGACACUGACACUGAGGUGCGAAAGCGUGGGUAGCAAACAGGAUUAGAUACCCCAGUAGUC